CAUAUCACGUCAUACCACAUUACCUUUUAAAAGUGCCCACAGUCAAGAUUAAGUCCUCUAUGGGUGCACCACGGAUUCUAAGACAAACUACUCCUGAACUUCUGAAUAUUGCACUAUAUAUACUGGAUACAUAUAACUUGGUGUAGCUCUAGUCAUAUAUGUAUUAAGAAAUUAUAAAAUCAACCAAUAAGACAUUUUAGAAUCAACCGAAUUUCUAUUUCACAAUAAUGGAACAUAAUUUUCAAAGAAUACAUAAGAUGAGUGUAUACCAAGUUACAUCAACAGCGCUCUUUCUAAUGGUAGUGGUCAUUACUAUGAAUCCUACAUCCGCAACCAGUACAACAAUCACUGAUGCAUCGACAAAAACUGAUGAACCCACUACAACCGUAACUGAUGCAUCGACUACAACUGGUGAACCCACUACAACCGUAACUGAUGCAUCGACUACAACUGGUGAACCCACUACAACCGUAACUGAUGCAUCGACUACAACUGGUGAACCUACUACAACCAUCACUGAGUCAUCAACAACAACUGGUGAACCCACUACAACCAUCACUGAGUCAUCAAAAACAACUGGUGAACCAAAUACAACAUUCAUUGACGCAUCGACAACAACUGGUGAACCGCUACAACCGUCACUAAUUCACCACCAACAACUGGUGAACCAACUAAAACCACCACUAAAUCAACAAAAUCAACUGGUGAACCAACUAAAACCACCACUAAAUCAACAAAAACAACUGGUGAACCAACUAAAACCACCACUAAAUCAACAAAAACAACUGCUGAACCAACUAAAACCACCACUAAAUCAACAAAAACAACUGCUGAACCAACUAAAACCACCACUACAUCAACAAAAACAACUGGUGAACCAACUAAAACCACCACUAAAUCAACAAAAACAACUGCUGAACCAACUAAAACCACCACUACAUCAACAAAAACAACUGGAGAACCAUCUAAAACCUCCACUGAGUCAACGACAACAAUUGGUGAACCCAUUAAAAUCGUUUUUGGGUCAUCAACAACAACUGAUGAACCCACUACCACCAUCACUGGUUCAUCCAGAACAACUGAUGAAAACACUGCAACCGACAAUGAUGCAUCGACAGAAACUGGUGAACCCAAUACAACCAUCAAUGAUUCAACAAAAACAACUAGUGAACCCACUACAACCAUUACUGAUUCAUCAACAACUGGUGAACCCAAUACAACAACUACCAGUGAAACUGCUACAACCAUCACUGGUGUUGUCGAUAACAACGGAUGCAGCUGCAACAGUCAUUGAUUCAUCAACAAUAACAGGUGAACUCACUCCAACCAUCGUUGAUGCAUCGAUAGUAACUAGUGAACCCACUGCAACCAUCACUGAUUCAUCAACAACAACUGGGGAACCAAAUACAUCCAUCACUGAGUCAUCAAAAGAAACUAGGCAACGCACUAUAACAUUAAGUGGAUCAUCGACAACAACUGGUGAACACACUACAAGAGUCCCUGCUGCGUCGACCACAACUGGGGAACCCACUACAAUCGACAUUGAUGCAUCAACAACUACUAGUGAAAACACAACAAUGGUCAGUGCUGAAUCGAAAACAACUGGUGAACCCACUACAACCAUGACUGGUGUGUCAACAAUAACGGUUACAGUUUCACCCACUACAAACAUCACUGGUAGAUUGACAUCAACAGUUACAGCUGCACCCACUACAACUGUCAUUGGAGCAUCAAUAACAACUGGUGAACUUACUUCAACUGUUAUUGGUGUGUUGACAACAACUGGUGAACCCACUACAACAGUCACUCGUGGGUCGACAACAACUAGUGGACCCACUACAACCAUAACUGAUUCAUCAACUACAGCUGGUGAACUCACUACAUCCAUCACUGAGUCAACAAAAACAACUGGUGAACCCACUAUGACCGUCACUGGUGUGUUGACAACAACUGGUGAACGCACUACAAUAUUCACUGGUGUGUCGUCAACGAGUGGUGCAUCAACAACUACUGGUACAGCUGCACCCACUACAACCGUCACUAGUGCAUCAAAUGCCACCACAACUACAAUAGCUACUCCUGUCAUCACUACUGCCAUCAUCACAGCCACAACAACUGCAACUACCGCUGUUGCAAUCAUUAGGUUGCCUGUGGUGUUCCGGUCCAGAGGAGAGACAUUUACCUCUGAUCUAUCAAACCCAUCAUCUCAGGCCUUUCAAACCCGAGCAUUACUGAUUAAAACUCAGGUUGAACCUUUCUAUCAAUCAGCUUUCACGUCUUUCAACAGUUUGACUGUGACAGAAUUCAGCUCUGGAUCCAUCAUCAAUACUGUAAAUGUAGCAUUCAGCUCCCCCUCUGUCCCUAAUAUCACGGAGAUUGGCACUGUUUUGAUAAAUGCUGCCCAAAACAUCACAGCUUUCAACAUUGACCCCUCCUCAGUGACAGUCAACAGCACAGCUGCAGCCACAAAAAUACUUACCAGUGCAAUAACAACGAGUGGCUUAUCGACAAGAACUGGUGAACCCACUACAACCGUCACCAGUGUGUCGACAAUGAGUGGUGCAUCAACAACUGCUGUUACAGCUGAACCCACUACAACUGUCAAUGAUGCACCGACAACAACUGGUGAACCCAAUACAACCAUAACUGAUACAUCAACAACAACAACUGGUGAACCCACUGAAACCGUCACUGGUUCAUUGAAACUAACUGGUGAAUUCACUACAACCGUCACUGGUGUGUCGACAACAACUGACAAACCAACUACAACCAUCACUGGUGUGUCGAUAAAGUUUACAGCUGCACCCACUACAAACGUCACUGGAGCAUCAACAACAACUGGUGAACUUACUUCAGCCGUUGUUGGUGUGUCGACAACAAGUUACGAAUCAACAACUACUGUUACUGCAGCACCCACUAUAACCGUCACGGGUGUGUUGACAACAACAGGUGAACCCAAUAUAAACGCUACUGGUGCACCAAAAACUACUGAUGAACCCACUACGACCAUCACUCGUGUGUCGACAACAAGUGGUGAACCCCCUACAUCCAUCACUGGUGUGUCGACAACAACGUUUACAACUGUACCCAUUACAAACGUAACUGGUGCAUUGACAACAACUGGUGAACUUACUUCAACUGUCAUUGGUGUGUCGUCAACAAGUUAUGCAUCAACAAUUACUGUUACUGCAGCACCCACAACAACCGUGUCGACAACAACUGGUGAACCCACUACAACCGUGUCGACAACAACUGUUGAACCCACUGCAACCGUUACUGGUGCAUUGACAACAACUGGUGAACCCAGAACAACCAUUACUGGUGUGUCGGCAACAACUGGUGAACCCACUGCAACCAUCACCGGUGUGUUGACAACAACGGUUACAGCUGUACCCAUUACAAACAUAACAGGUGCAUUGACAACAACUGGAGAACUCACUUCAACCGUCACUGGGGUAUUGACAAGAACUGGUGAACCCAGAACAACCGUCACUGUGGUGUCGACAACAAGUGAUGCAUCAACAACUACAUUUACUGCAGCACCCACUACAACCGUCAUGGGUGUGUUGACGACAACUGGUGAACCCACUACAACCGUCGAUGGUGUGUCGACAACAACUGAUGAACCAAUUACAACUAUCAGUGGUGUGUUGAUAACAAAGUUUACAGCUGCACCCAUUACAAACGUCACUGGAGCAUCAACAACUGGUGAACUUACUUCAACUGUCAUUGGUGUGUCAACAACAAGUGAAGCAUCAACAACCACUGUUACUGCAGCACUAACUACAACUGUCACUGGUGUGUCAACAACAACUGGUGAACCCACUGCAAACAUCACCGGUGUGUUGACAACAACGGUUACAGCAGUACCCAUUACAACUGUCACGGGUUUGUCGACAACAACUGGUGAACCCACUACAACCAUCACUGGUGUGUCGACAACAACUGGUGAACCCACUGCAACCCUCACCGGUGCAUCAACAACUAAUACUACAGCUGCACCCAUUACAACUCUCACUGAUGCAUCAACAACAAUGGUUACAGCUGUAUCCAUUUUAACCGUAACUGGUGCUUUGACAACAACGGUUAGAGCCGCAGCCACUACAGCCGUCACUGGUGUGUCGACACCAAGUGAUGCACCAACAGCUACUGUUACUGCAGCACCCACUACAACCGUCAUGGGUGUGUUGACGACAACUGGUGAACCCACUACAACAUUAACUGGUUCAUCGACAACUACUAGUGAACCCACGACAGCCGUUACUGGUCCAUUGACAACAUCUGGUGAACCCACUACCACAAUCACUGGUGUGUCGACAACAAUGGUUACAGCUGUACCCAUUACAACCGUAACUGGUGCAUUGACAAGAGCGAUUACAGUGGCUCCAAAUACAACCAUCACUGUUGUGCCGUCAACUACUGAUGAACCCAAUUCAACUGUCACUGGUGGGUUGACAACAACUGGUGAACCCACUACAACCGUCACUGGUGCAUCGACAACAACGGUUACAGCUGUACCCAUCACAUCAAUAGGUGGUGCAUUGACAACUGGAGAACUCCCUUCAACCGUCACUGCUGCUCUUGCAACAAGUACUGUUCCUCCUACAACUUCUGUUACAACCCCUGUGGCUGGUACUACCACCACAACAACUGGAGAACCUGUUACUGUUCCGGCUACCGUUCCUACAACUAGGCCCACAACUACAACCACUACAUACGUGGCCCCCACAACUACAGUGUCAAGGACAACAUCACCACUGUCAACAACUACCAGCACAGCUCCAACUACCACAACAACCAACGCACCAACCACUACUACAACACCUACUACUACUACUAGUACAACCACUACUACAACACCUACUACUACUAGUACAACAACAACUACAACUAAAACAACAACUGCACAUCUCCAACCUGCUCCACUGGUGGUUUUCGUCAUACAACAAGUGUUUGUAGAAGCUUUAAAUGACCCUCAAAGUCCACAAUUCCAAGAACUUGCAGUAACUAUUACUGCAGUGUUUGAUGUGAUCUACAAAGCAAAAUAUGGGAUCCUUUUCAUCCGGACAAUUGUUAUUGGAUUCACACCUAUUUUCCGUUCUCGUAUGGAUGCAGAAACACAGGCGGAGGUCCAGCUAGUGUUCAGUGAGACCUCCACUCAAUCUGUCCCUGAGGUUACUGACAUUAGCAAUACACUGAAAGAGGCUGUGACCAAUCCAAACAUUACCUUUGGCAACCUCUCUGUGGAUGUUACCACCAUCAUUGUUAAAGUGCCCACCACAAAUGCCAACUCAACUGCAACGGUAACUCCUGUCAUCACUACUUCCAUCAUCACAACUACAACCACUGAAACUACCGCUGUGGCACUCACUAAGGUGACUGUGGUGUUCAGGUCCAGAGGAGAGACAUUUACCUCUGAUCUAUCAAACCCAUCAUCUCAGGCCUUUCAAAGCCGAGCAUUACUGAUUAAAACUCAGGUUGAACCUUUCUAUCGAUCGGCUUUCACCUCUUUCAACAGUUUGACUGUGACAGAAUUCAGCUCUGGAUCCAUCAUUGAUACUAUGAAUUUAGCAUUCAGCUCCUCCUCCGUCCCAAAUUCCAAGGAGAUUGGCACUGUUUUGAUAAAUGCUGCGCAAAACAUCACAGCUUUCAACAUUGACCCCUCCUCAGUGACAGUCAACGGCACAGCUGUGACCUCAAGUGGAGUAAGCAGCAAGACCAGUCUCUUCACAGCAUUCUUUCUGGUGGUUCUGUCUCUGCUACUGUCAAGCCAGCAUUAGUCUCAGUGGUAACGCCCACUUGGUAGUCAUAUUUUCACUUUGAGAACUUCCCACACAUUCCAACCCCUACAUAAAUUCCACCCAUGAUUUGACUAGUCUCCAAAAUGAAAUGAAGUCUUGUAAGCUGACAUAAGAUACAGUCUAUGUGGCAGUUGAACACAAUGAUGUGAUAUAAUUACUGCCUAUUCAAUCAAAAUGUGUAAGUGCAUGGGUUUCCAUCAUAAGUCAAUGUUAUUUCCAUGCAAUGACAAAGCAUGUUUGAUUUAAUAUGCACUUAUUUUUGAUUCACUCUGUUGCUGAUAUGAACUAAAACAUUGAUUCACUCUUGCUGAUAUGAACUAAAACGUUGAUUUACUCUCUUGCUGAUAUGAACUAAAACGUUGAUUCACUCUUUUGCUGAUAUGAACUAAAACAUUUAAUCACUCUGUUGCUGAUAUGAACUAAAACAUUUAAUCACUCUGUUGCUGAUAUGAACUAAAACAUUGAUUUACUCUCUUGCUGAUAUGAACUAAAACAUUGAUUCACUCUUGCUGAUAUGAACUAAAACGUUGAUUUACUCUCUUGCUGAUAUGAACUAAAACGUUGAUUCACUCUUUUGCUGAUAUGAACUAAAACAUUUAAUCACUCUUUUGCUGAUAUGAACUAAAACAUUGAUUCACUCUUGCUGAUAUGAACUAAAACGUUGAUUUACUCUCUUGCUGAUAUGAACAAAAACAUUUAGUCACUCUGUUGCUGAUAUAAACUAAUGAGAGCAAUAUUAUAUUUCAUAUUUUGACUUAACCAGUGAAACCUGGAUAACUGAUUUAAAUAAGGCCCUUUGGAGCAAAAUGUUCAAAGAUUUAAACAAUUAUGAAUGUAGUCUUCAUCAUGUAUCUGUUAUACCAUAUAAUGCAAUUCUGUUAUCAAUUGUCCUGAUAUUGUGCCAGUGUAAGGUUGUCUGCUUUUUCUGGAGGUACACAAUCUUUAAUACAUGUCUUUCUCUCGUGAAGAUUCAGGCCAUUGUAUUGUUUACUAUUUGUUGACUAAAUGAGUGGAUUGGAUGACAAGGUAAAGUAUGGCUCCAAUUGUGAUGUUUAUCUGACUAUCUGGCUAUACAAUACUGGAACAACAAGACUACACUAGAUCAGUCCAACACAUCCACGUGUUACACAGUGAGGGAGUGUUGUGCCCCACUGGUGUAGACAGCAGUUAGUUUGUUGGUACAAUAUUUGCUCUCCCAGAGAUCGAGCUUUGAUUGGAUCUCACAUGCGAGAUAUUUGCAUGCAAAAUGCUCCUCACUUCCUAAUCAGUUCGCCUCGCCCCAACUAGAUAUAGACAAACAGGUAGCUAGUUCAUGAUUCAUUCAAUUUGAAAAGUGGAUACCAGCGUAGCAUGCCACUUUGAAGUCGCAGCCCCUUCAUUAUCCGCUACAAGACCAUGGUGCUUGCCUACGGAGCUGUGAAGGGAACGGCACCUCCAUACCUUCAGGCUCUGAUCAGGCCCUACACCCAAACAAGGGCACUGCGUUCAUCCACCUCUGGCCUGCUGGCCCCCCUACCUCUGAGGAAGCACAGUUCCCGCUCAGCCCAGUCAAAACUGUUCGCUGCUCUGGCACCCCAAUGGUGGAACAAGCUCCCUCACGACGCCAGGACAGCGGAGUCAAUCACCACCUUCCGGAGACACCUGAAACCCCACCUCUUUAAGGAAUACCUAGGAUAGGAUAAAGUAAUCCUUCUAAACCCCCCCCCUUAAAAGAUUUAGAUGCACUAUUGUAAAGUGGUUGUUCCACUGGAUAUCAUAAGGUGAAUGCACCAAUUUGUAAGUCGCUCUGGAUAAGAGCGUCUGCUAAAUGACAUAAAUGUAAAUGUGAUUAUCAAUGCAACGUGCCGAAAACAUCAAAGAGCCUUCCCAGACUCUGGAGUAAAACAGAUGUGUAUCUUUCGCCAGACAAACACUAGAUGCCAUUCCACAAUAAUGGCUCAGAUUAACCGAUGACUGUAGAUGUAAAGAGUAUGAUAUCUCUGAAAAACUAAACUCGUCAAGAGUGUUAUGACAGGAAACAUCUUGUCUGUCAUUUCCUUGUAUUUAAUAGGAUUCUACUGUGUGUGUGUGUGUGUGUGUGUGUGUGUGUGUGUGUGUGUGUUAUUAGGUACUGAACCUGUUAUCAUAUAAUGUGUCCAUAGUAUUUAAACUACUGUUCAAAAGAGGUCACUUAGAAAUGUAAUGGUUUUUCAAAGAAAAGCAAUUUUUUCGUCCAUUAAAAUAACAUCAAAUUGAUCAGAAAUACAGUGUAGACAUUGUUAUUGUUGUAAAUAACUAUUGUAGCUGGAAACGGCAGAUUUUUUAUGGAAUAUCUACAUAGGCGUACAGAGGCCCAAUAUCAGCAACCAUCACUCCUGUGUUCCAAUGGCACGUUGUGUUAGCUAAUCCAAGUUUAUCACUUUAAAAGGCUAAUUGAUCAUUAGAAAAUCCUUUUGCAAUUAUGUUAGCACAGCUGAAAACUGGUGUUCCUGAUUAAAGAAGCAAUACAACUGGCUUUCUUUAGACUAGUUGUGUAUCUCGAGCAUUAACAUUUGUG
rnacentral:lncRNA from 1 species